CAGCUGAUCGGCGGGUGGGCGGGGCUUCCACAGAGGCCUUGUGUAGGCCUCUGUGAAGCCUGAACUCCAGUAGGGCCCAAGCCAGCCAGGAAGGAGGAGGCAGCCAGAGUGGCCACCACUGUUCUCUGCAGCAGAAGACCCCCUGCUGCCAGGAGCUGUUUAGGGACUCUGACCUAUGGACUAUGACUAAAAUGUGUCUGUGGAGAUUUCUUCAAGACUCAUGCAUUUUUGAGAGACCGUUGUCAUUUGAAAAAUCUCCAGUAGGUGUCAUUUAUGGGGCCUUUGUCCCCCUGGUACAUCAUUAUUUCCUUAUAUGAAGAAGAAAAGGAAGAGGCCAGUUCUUGAAGAGCUUCUGAACAAGGAAUGUUAUCCUUAACUGGUCAAGGUGAAUACUACCACCCGGUGACUACAUCUGUUAAAAGAUGGCUUCAGGGAGAAAAGGUAAAAGUGGCUUGGUACGUUGCAAGGCCCCCAACCAGUCAGCCGAGUGCACAUCUGGGUUCUGCUGCAAACUGGCAGAACUGGUUUCCUCUGAGCUCAGACCUGGAGAAAAGAUCGUACAUCUGGAAACAUUGUAAUGAAUGUCCUCCCAGAGUCUGAAAGGAGAAGAGAACUGAGAAGAGGAGAGGAGAGAGACCACGGACCAGACAAGACAGAAGGGGACAUCUGGACAAAACGUGGGAGACCUAAACUGACUAAAUGCAUGGUGGGAGCACAGAAGCCUGUCCAAACACAAAGCAUUAAAGUUGACUUGGAUUGAAAAUCUGAGCAGUUGUCUGAGCAAGAACCUACAAAUUAACCUCAACAAUUCACUUUAGGAGAACUUGGGAGGAAGCUUUGUCUCAGACUUCACACACAAAUAAUCAGGUUUCUUAUGUUACCCACAAGCUUAAAAAGCAGCAGAAACUCUGAGGCCUCCGGAUGAAAACAACACUAUUUAACGAAAGCAUGUUCAAAAUUGCUGCAGUUUGGCCUGACUUCAUAGAGAAAGACAGCACUUGAAAAACUAUGAGAGGACAAAAGAGUGGCUGGGGAGAAGCUAAAGUGGCCAACUGCAUAUCUGACUGUACUGGCAUGGAUAAAAUUGCCUGCUCAUCACUGAAAUGUCCCAUCUAGCCAAGAGUUAGAUAUCAAUCUCGGGCUAAUUUCUUUACAUGCAAUAUACUGUUCCUCUGAGUCAAAUUGUAUUUAUUAUUAUUGUUAAAUUCUAUCUAUCUAUCUAUCUAUCUAUCUAUCUAUCUAUCUAUCUAUCAUAUUUAUAUACCACAUGAUAUGUGUAUCCUUGGUGUACACAAUUUAAAACACAGCAAUUAUAAAACAGUGUAACUUGGGUGAUCAAUUGAGUGGAUUUAAUUUGGCCUUCUAUCUUCGGGUAGUUACGAUUCCUGAAUAUAGAUGAGCCAUGACACUGGCCAGGUUAGAUGUUCUUCCGUCUGCAGUCCUGUUUGGCAGAUAUGCAGGAAUUCCUUUGGCAAAUCGUGUUUGUCCUUGUGACAUGGGCUGUGUUGAAACAAUAGCACAUGCCUUUUUACAUUGUAGUUUUUAUGAUGAAGCCAGAGGGAAGUUACUUUCUCCUCUCUUGAUAAAUCUUAAUGGAAGAGAAGAUGAUGUCUUAUUGAGGUUUUUAUUUUCUUUAUGCGAUGAAGAUAAAAUUAGAACUGUGGCAAAAUAUUGUUAUAUUCUCUGCAAAACACGCUCUAAUGUUUAGUUCAUGUUUGAAAUGUUUGUAUUUGUAAAAUUGCUGGUCAAAUGACUGAAUAAAUAUUAUGUAUGUAUGUAAAACAGUGUAAAAACAACUAAGACAAGAGUAAAAACAGUUAAAUCAAUUUCAUGGAAUAAAAACUAUUAAGCAGUUUAAAAUUAAUUUUAAUUAAAAGCUGGAAAAAA